GGAAGGGUGCCGGAGUGGUCGAACGGGGUGCUCUCGAAAAGCAUUGAGCGAGCAAUCGUUCCGGGGGUUCGAAUCCCUCCCCUUCCGCCA
rnacentral:tRNA from 5 species